AGAAUCAACGCUGGCGGCGUGCCUAACACAUGCAAGUCGAACGAGAAAGGGGUAGCAAUACCCUGAGUAAAGUGGCGCACGGGUGAGUAACACGUGACUAACCUACCCUGGAGUGGGGGAUAACUGAGGGAAAACCUUAGCUAAUACCGCAUAAUACCUACGGGUCAAAGGAGCAAUUCGCUUUGGGAGGGGGUCGCGGCCGAUUAGUUAGUUGGCGGGGUAAUGGCCCACCAAGACGAUGAUCGGUAUCC
rnacentral:rRNA from 1 species